rnacentral:lncRNA from 1 species
GCGUAUUCAAUGGAAUAUUACACCAAUAUUUAUACUAUAUUAUAAGGGGAUAUGCAAUUUUGGGUUGACUUUUUCAUUAUCCUAAUUAUAUUUUCUUAUAAUAAUGUUUAUCAUUUGUUGUGUCAUAAAAAAUUAUCAGAAUUUAUACUUAUAAUUUUAAUCAAAAUCAAAAUUUAGUGGUCAGAUUCACAUACAUUUUAGAUAUAAGAAAAUAUAGAAAUCGAAGUUUGAACUGGAAUGCUCGUAAAUAAUAUCUGAUAGCUACCAAGCUCUUACCGGACCUAGUUUUCGGACCCUGGUUUUCGAACCCCUAGUUUACAUAGCAAACAUGAAAAUCAAACGAAAAAAAUGAUACUUACCUUGGUAUUGCCUGACAAGUGGUGGGAAGGUGCCUUGCUUGCUCAGUUGAUACAAAAAGGAUACAUAUCAUUCAUUUUCUUCUUCUUAUCCAUUUGAAACGCUGUUAUCUUGUUCAGUUAAUACGUUGUUGUGUUAAGAGAGGAUCAUGAAACUUCAUCAUUGAUAUCUUGUUGUGCUUCCUCUAAGUCUUUCUUUGGGAGAUCUCUGAAGUUUGUUUGUUCCACACACUUUAAAGUAAUUUCUCUCUUUAGAUCUUAGUAAACACAUUUUUACUCUUAAUUUCCAUUGUUACUCAAAUUUCAUAUUUCACAUAUUUUAUAUUGCCUCUAAAUAGUUCUCUAUUUCCUUGGCAGAUCUAAGUUUGUGCUUUACUGUCAAAGAUCUCAAUCUGUUUGUUCUCACACUUUCAGGUAAUCUUUUCCUUUGCUAACAAAACUUAUCCUUUUAGAUUAUGAUACGCAUUCUUCGCGACAAACAAGUGAUGUACUUUUACUAAAAUUUGUAUAUGCACAAUUUCAAUAUAAGCUAUAUAAUAUUUUUUUUUUUUUUUUCAAGUAACCUAGUGGUUAGAGUUCACAAAAUUAAAUUUUGAAGAAAUGGCGUGCCCCUGCAUACAAUAUGUAAUAUCCCUAUCAACUAAGAUAAGCUCACAGAUUAAGCUAUAUAAAUUUUAAAAUUGUCAUUUUUUGGGACGGCAUCAUAGAAAUAGGGAUGUCAAUGGGUAUCCAUGGGUACAGAUAGUAUGAUAUUCGUCACCGCCCCGUUCGAUAAAUAUGGUAUCCAUGCCCAUCCCGAUACCCGUGCGGGUAUCUCUAUACGGAUAAUAUCCACGGGGUAUUUAGAUACUCACGGAUAUUCGCUGGUACCCAUAGAUUUUUAAAUUAACUUUUUUUCGUACAAAGAAAAAUACUUUUUUAAUUACCUACAAACUUCAACUUAUAAAGAUCCAUACAUAACAUAUUUCAUUCAAAUUUCAUAAUCCAUACCAUAAUCUAACAAAAAUUUACGAUUCUUACAUAAUCCCAAGCAAAUUCAUCAUACCAUAAUGCAUAUGAUCCUUUCAUAAUCCAUACAAAUUGUUGAAGUAAAAUAAAAGGAUUAAAACAUCCAAAAUCAAAAUAAACAUCCAAAAAGCAUAAAAACCUCUAAAUAAAAGCUAGAAAAGACUAAAAUCCAAAUAAACAUCCAAAAUUUCAUAUGCAGUUCAAUAAUAGAAUUUGAGACCUCAAAUUAGGGCUUUCUGAGUCACCAAAUUCUUAUAUAUAUAUAUAUAUAUAUAUAUAUAUAUAUAUAUAUAUAAGUCAGGAUCCGUUGACACCAAAUCUCAACCGUUGAUUCACACACAUAUGGAUAUUUUAGUAAUUUACUUAAUUUAUUAUUGGAUACGGAUAACCACGGGCACAUGUAGUUAAAUACCUGUUUAUUAUACAUGCGGGUACACGUUUAGCUACCCGUCCCGUGCUUAUCUUAUGACGGAUUUUAUCUACGGAUACCAGUGAGCAUAUAUUUUUUUGCCACCCCUACAUAGAAGCCCUCGUAUUAGAAAGUGAUAGACUAAAAAGAUGUUAAAAUAUUAUAAAAUGAUAAAGAUGGUGUAAAUGUGGUGUUUUUCUUUUUUUGUGUCAUUGAGAAAUAUGUUUUUUUUUAGAUAGACGAAAUGACAAAGUUAUUAUAAACUCACACAUACAAGUGGGGGUACCGCGGUUCGAACGCUGGUCAUGACAUCCGGCCUAACAAUUUCGACAUUUUACCAAUUGAACUAAGACGUGUGGAUGAGAAAUAUGUUUUUUUAUUUAUAUAAAUUUAUAAAUAAUAAAUAUGUAUCCGGUGCACUAUUUUUAUGUUGAAUUAUAAUUAAUUACUCUAAUAUUUUUUUAAAUGUUUAAGAAUUUUUUAUUUUUUGAAGAAGAGAAAAUGGAAUUAGAUUAACCAAAAACUAAUAAACCAAAACUUCCCAUCACAAGGUGUGCUCCAAAGAAUAGGCUAAGUCAAAGGAUUACAAACACAACAAAAUAAACAAACAUUGAAAGAAAAAAGAACAAAUCAAGUUAUUGCUCUGAACUACAAAAUUGGAUUAAGGCACCAAGAAUGAUAGUCAAAAGUGAAAGAAACAUUUUUCUUUCAACCACUAGAACGUCUGAAGUUUGAUCUUGUUGAGCAAUUGAUGUAAAGAGUGCUCCUUGUGCUUGAAAUUGCGACCAUUUUUUUCAUUUCAAAUUGUCCAAACACAAGAUAGCCAAAAAAGAUGCAUAACUAACUGAUAGUGCUUUGAUGAUCCUCCUAAAUGACAAAAUGGAUGUAAAUGGUAUGAAAUAAUAAAACGUAUAACUCUAACGUAUCCUAACCAGUGCAAAACCAUAGUCCAAAUUGAUCCAUAAAAAUAACAAUUCAAACACGAAUGAGUGAUAUCCUCAUUAGAUCCACAACCACCCACAAAGAGAUGUUGAUGAUUCUGACGUAACCACCGCCACAACAUUUUAUAUGUAGUAGAUGAAUGGAUGUUCUUUAGUUUAAACAAUUUCGAAAGCAAAAGGACCGAUUUUUAAAGGAAUUGCCUUGUGCGAAUUGAUGCUUGAAGAUUCUUGAGUUUAAACAAUUUCCAAUGAUGUCAAAUAGUGAUAAGAUGAAUUCGAAUGAAUAUCGAUCGUUUAGAUGAAUGAAUUUUUUGUUCGCACCUGUCUAUCUCACCAACCUGCAACACAAUAUUAUGCAAAAAAAAAACAUGCACGCCUCAACCUGUUCCUCCUCCCAAGAAAAUAGACGUCUACGCCACUUCCACGCCUCACCACCCUACCCCGACCUAAUUGAUUCAUUUCUAAAACUGACAUAAUUUUGUUUUUUGCUAAAUCAAAGAGUCCACUAAAUCUAUCCUUCAAGACUGCCCCUCCCGCCAAGGGUCCCACCAAAAUAACGUAGACGACUCAUCCCCGACGCAAUAACCUAAAUUAUUCAAGAACCAAUUACCAAAACGAGUUGAGCCUUCAACCCAUCCCCUUCAUAAAUGCCAUAAAUAUUUUUUUCACCAAACCGUGUCGAGCCUUCCACCUACAACGAUCCUACCUCCCCACAACACUCCACCGAAACUCUAUAUCACAACCCAUCCCUUUCAUCCCUCAACCUCCAACAUCACAUUUCCAAAAGAGCCACAUUAAAUUCCCGAAUCCUCAAUCCUCUAUACUCCUUUUUCAUGCACAUAGUGUCCCAUUUGAUCUAAAUUAUUUUCCUAAAAUCCCCCCCCCCCCCCCCCCCCCCUCCAACCCCCGCAAAAGAAAACAAUUAAAAAUAGAUAAUUCCUGUGGGAGCCUAGUAGAAGAAGGAAACAAAAUAGAACGAUAAAGAUGAUAUGAGAAACUUUAGGAGAACCAAGCGGCCCCCAUAGGUAAAAAAUUUCUCUUCCUGUAUGAAAAUCUAUACUUAAUGUGAAAAGGAUGAUUCCUGUUUUGCAGUUAAGUACAGUUGAAGCCUCGGCCAACCAAGCAGUAGAAACAUUAACCCCAACUAACAAGCUCUUAUUGAAACUCACUUUAAGGUCAUCGGUUGCCUCGAAAAGAAUAAGAACUGCUUUGAGAGUCCUUACACUUGCACACAUUUUUUCACCUAUCAACAAAGUAUCAUUGUUGAGGCAAAAUCCCUAAUUAAUUUUAAAGAUAAUAAACAAAUAUGAUUAAAGAAUUAAUGGACUUUGAUUAAUUCCUUGGUAUUUAACUUGUGCUCUUGAGUGUUUUACUAAGAUAGGAACAAGGUUUAAAUCAUACCAAGAAUCAAGAAAUCAAAGGACAUUUGAAUUCAUGAUCUAACACUGAGGUCAGAAUGUUAGAUCAGAAUGUUGCUCGAAGAUCAGAAUGUUCAAGCUGAGAUCAGAAGGUUGUUCUUAAACAAGCCAAGAGUCUCAAGAACUUUGAUCAAAGGUCAUGCAAGACACAUGUGACAUGGGUAUAUGUCCAGGAAAGUACAUUUGCAUGGAUCAAUCAAGCAAUAAAGGCAUAUACAAGGAUUAUGUCAAAGAAGGCAUUCAAUGUUCAUUUAAGACUAUGAACAUUGAUGUACUAGGAAUAUUUCACAAGGGAAUAUCAUCCUAGAUGUUAUUAUUACUGCUCUUCAUCAUUGUUUCACUAUUAGGAUUUGAUUACAUCAAAUGAUAGUCUUACAAAUCAUCCUAAGUGAAACAGAUGGAACAUUUUGAUGAUCAGAAUGUUCAACUCAGCUCAUGCUUACUUUAUGAACAGUACAGUAGGUGAAAAGCAAAAAGCAAAAGCAAAGCAAAUCUGUGAUCUUCAACAAGAGAUAGACACGUCUGAGAGUUGGUACUGAUCAAGGACAACACAAUCUCUCAAAGCAUGGGCAUGAAGAUGCAGAAUCCCACUAAAUCCUCCUGCACCGGUUCCAAGACAAAGUCUGGGAAAGGAACAUUCUGAUGUAUGAAGAAAAGUCCAUACAUUGGUUAUUGUCCAGAAAUUCAUAUGAAAAGCAUAUGCAUAGCCCAGAACUUCAUGUGUUCAUUCAUACAUGAUGAACCCAGAUGAAGAACAUGAUGAACCCAGAUGAAGAUCAUCAUGAACACAACAGCAUUCUGAUGUUCAUCAGAGAUCAGAAUGUUUGCCCAGAAUUUCAAGUUAAAGCUUGUGGGACCCAGGACACAUGACAUAACACCAUGGGACAUCCUACAACGGCUAUAUGAGCCCAAAGACUCUAUAAAUAGAGAUCAAGGCAUUAGCAAAACUUGCACCAUUGCAAAGCAUACAAGAAAACAACUUUGAUUUUGUUUGAAGCUUUUGCAAACUGAAAUUGAUCAAUCUCUAAGUCUUUCAUCAACUUAGUGCAAAUCAAUACUCUUGUUAUCUGUAGGAUAACCUCUUCUUCUUCUUCUUCCUCCACUGUUUGUUUUACAAACACCAAACUUCCAUACAAAUUGUAACAAAGUCUCAUCUAGCUUUUAGAGGUCCUAAAGUGUUAGGUUGAGCAAAUGUUGUAAAAGUCUAAGUGGCUAACUUAGCAAGAAGGUGCAAGCCUGCUGAGGCUUAGAGAAUACAGGAGUGUAAUUGUUCUGGUGAACAAGAUUGUAAGCUGCAGGACUUGAGAGGUUAUCUCAAGCAUCUUAGUGGAAACUCUCACAGGAUUGUGGGGAGUGGACUAGCCCACAUUGGGUGAACCACUAUAACUCUUUGUGUGUUCUUUCUUUCUUCUCUAUACUCUUUUAUUUACAGUAUACACAACACACACUUACACUUAUACUUUAUUAAACAAUUUUGUUUAUGAACUUCAGAACAUUCUGAAGUCAGAAAGUUAACAUAAUUCCAAGUAAACAACUUGAGAAUCAAUUUUAAGUUUCAGAAUAAUUUUUAAAGGGUCACAAUUCAAACCCCCCCUUCCUUGUGACUAUUUUAUCUACUUCAAUUGGCAUCAGAGCCAGGCUCUAAGGGUUUGAACACUUAAACAAGUGUUAGAGAAAAGAUUCAGGAAGUAUGUCAAAAGUCAAGUACAUAGCUGAAGGAGGAUCUUCAAAUAGACCACCACUCUUUGAUGGAUCAAACUACUACUUCUGGAAAGGCAAGAUGGAACUCUUUCUCAGAUCUCAAGACAAUGAUAUGUGGGCAGUCAUCACAGAUGGAGACUUUGUUCCAACAACCAAAGAAGGAGCUGUCAAAGCAAAAAAUGCAUGGUCAACAGAUGAAAAAGCUCAGGUAUUACUAAACUCUAAAGCUAGACUCUUUCUAUCGUGUGCACUAACCAUGGAAGAAAGUGAAAGAGUUGAUGAAUGUACAAAUGCUAAAGAAGUAUGGGAUACUCUGAAAAUACAUCAUGAGGGUACAUCUCAUGUCAAAGAAACUAGAAUUGACAUUGGAGUCAGAAAAUUUGAAGUCUUUGAAAUGAGUGAAAAUGAAACCAUUGAUGAGAUGUAUGCCAGAUUUACUACAAUAGUAAAUGAAAUGAGAUCUCUUGGAAAUGCAUAUUCUACUCAUGAUAGAAUUAGAAAAAUACUGAGGUGUCUUCCAAGUGUGUGGAGACCUAUGGUCACUGCAAUCACUCAGGCCAAAGAUUUAAAAUCUAUAAACCUGGAAGAUCUCAUUGGUUCACUAAGAGCUCAUGAAGUUGUACUUCAAGGAGACAAACCAGUGAAGAAGGUAAAAACACUUGCCUUGAAAGCAUCUCAGCAAACCCCAUCAGUUGCUGAUGAAGAUGUGCAAGAACCACAAGAAUUAGAAGAAGUUCAUGAAGAAGAAGCUGAAGAUGAACUUGCAUUAAUCUCUAAAAGAAUUCAAAGGAUGAUGUUAAGAAGAAAUCAGAUCAGAAAGAAGUUUCCAAAAACCAACAUCAGCAUCAGAACUGAAGCUGACAAAAGUCAAGUCACUUGCUAUGGAUGCAACAAAACUGGACAUUUCAAAAAUGAAUGUCCUGACAUCAAAAAGGUUCAAAGAAAACAUCCUUUCAAGAAGAAAGCAAUGAUCACUUGGGAUGACAUGGAAGAAUCAGAUUCUCAAGAAGAUGCAGAUACAGACAUGGGACUGAUGGCUCAGUCAGAUGAUGAGGAAGAGGUAAUUAUCUAUAAAACUGAUUCUCUAUAUAAAGAUCUUGAAAAUAAAAUUGAUAGUCUUUUAUAUGAUUCAAACUUCUUAACUAAUAGAUGUCACUCUUUAAUCAAAGAACUUUCUGAGAUAAAAGAAGAAAAAGAAAUACUUCAAAACAAGUAUGAUGAGUCUAGAAAGACCAUAAAAAUUCUACAAGAUUCUCAUUUUGACAUGUCAGAAAAACAAAGAGAGAUAAACAGAAAACAAAAAGGCAUUAUGUCUGUACCUUCUGAAGUACAAAAGGAAAACAUACUUUUGAAAAAGGAAGUUGAAACUUUGAAAAAGGAUCUGACAGGAUUUAUAAAAUCUACAGAAACGUUUCAAAACAUAGUAGGAUCUCAAAAUGAAAGUACUAAGAAAUCUGGCUUAGGCUUUAAGGAUCCAAGCAAAAUUAUUGAAAGUUUUGUACCAAAAACUAAAAUAAGAGUUAAAUGCUAUUUCUGUGAUAAGUAUGGACAUAAUGAAUCAGUAUUUUAUGUUAAGAAAAAAUUUAUCAAACAAAAUAAUUUAAAUCUUAGUUCAGAACGUUCUCAUCUCAAUAGAUCAGAAAGUUCACAAAAGGCUGAAAAGGCUAAGAAGACAUGUUUCUACUGUAACAAAUCUGAUCAUAAAAGACAGAAUGUUACUUUUAGAAAAGAUCUCUUAGAAGAACUAACCCUCAAGGACCCAACAUUACAUGGGUACCUAAAAUUUUUAUCUUGUCAAAUGUAGGUCCUGCCUCAGGGUGCAAGAACAAAACCAUGGUACCUGGAUAGUGGUUGUUCUAGGCACAUAACAGGUGACAGGAAUUGUUUUCUAACUUUUGAAAAAAAACGAUGGAGGACUGGUGACAUUUGGAAACAAUGACAAAGGUAAAAUCAGAGGUAAAGGUACUAUAGGUAAUCUUAACUCUGCUAAAAUAGAAAAUGUUCAGUAUGUGGAAGGUUUAAAACAUAAUCUACUUAGCAUAAGUCAAUUGUGUGAUAGUGGAUUUGAAGUUAUCUUUAAACCUAACAUAUGUGAAGUCAGACAAACCUCCUCUAACAAAUUGUUUUUCUCUGGUUUAAGAAGAAAGAACUUAUAUGUUUUAGAACUGAAUGAUAUGUCUGCUGAAUCUUGUUUUAUGUCUCUUGAAAAAGACAAAUGGAUCUGGCACAAAAGGGCUGGUCAUAUAAGCAUGAAAACCAUUGCUAAACUUUCUCAACUUGAUCUAGUUAGAGGUUUGCCUAAGAUUAGCUUUGAAAAGGACAAAAUCUGUGAAGCAUGUGUUAAAGGUAAACAAGUAAAAAGUAGUUUUAAAACUAUUGAGUUUAUCUCAACUCAGAAACCUUUAGAGCUUCUUCAUAUUGAUCUGUUUGGUCCUGUUCAAACUGCAAGUCUAACUUGCAAAAGAUAUGGAUUUGUUAUUGUUGAUGAUUUCUCCAGAUUUACAUGGGUGCUAUUUUUAAAACAUAAAGAUGAAUCUUUUGAAGCAUUUCAAAACUUUUGCAAAAGAGUUCAAAAUGAAAAAGGUUAUAAUAUCAUCACAGUUAGGAGUGAUCAUGGAGGAGAAUUUGAAAAUGCAUCCUUCAAAACAUUCUUUGAUGAAAUGGUAUUAAACAUAACUUUUCUUGUGCAAGAACUCCACAACAAAAUGUAGUUGUUGAAAGAAAAAAUAGAACCUUGCAAGAAAUGGCAAGAACAAUGUUAAAUGAAUCAAAUGUUGAAAAUUACUUUUGGGCAGAAGCCAUUAACACAUCUUGUUACAUUUUGAAUAGAGUUUCUAUAAAAAAGGUUCUUAACAAAACCCCAUAUGAACUCUGGAAAAAUAUUAAACCUAGCAUAUCUUACUUUCACAUUUUUGGCUGCUAUUGUUACAUACUGAACAAUAAAGAAAAAUUGGGUAAGUUUGAUCCUAAAUCAGAUAAAGCUAUCUUUUUAGGAUACUCUACAACUUCUAAAGGUUAUAGAGUGUACAAUCUAAAAACUCAUACAGUUGAAAUUAGUAUGCAUAUCAUAUUUGAUGAAUAUGAUGAACAUUCUCAACCUAAAGAGAAUGAAGACACUGAAGUACCAACACUUCAGAAUGUUCCAGUUCAGAAUACUGAGAACACAGUAGAGAAAGAAGAUGAUCAGAAUGUUCAGGAUCAAUCUCUUUAAAGUCCACCUAGAAGCUGGAGAAUGGUAGGGGACCAUCCUACUGACCAAAUCAUUGGAAGCACAACUGAUGGUGUAAGAACCAGAUUGUCCUUUCAAGACAACAACAUGGCAAUGAUCUCUCAAAUGGAACCCAAGUCAAUCAAUGAAGCCAUUAUUGAUGACUCUUGGAUUGAGGCCAUGAAGGAAGAACUUUCUCAGUUUGAAAGAAACAAAGUUUGGAACUUGGUUCCAAAUAAUCAAGAUAAAACCAUCAUUGGAACAAGAUGGGUUUUCAGAAACAAGCUUGAUGAAGAAGGUAAGGUUGUCAGAAACAAAGCAAGGUUAGUUGCUCAAGGUUACAACCAACAAGAAGGUAUUGACUAUGAUGAGACCUUUGCACCAGUUGCAAGGUUAGAAGCCAUCCGAAUUCUUCUUGCUUAUGCUGCACAUAAAAGCAUUAAACUUUUUCAAAUGGAUGUGAAAAGUGCAUUUUUAAAUGGUUUUCUAAAUGAAGAAGUUUAUGUAAGUCAACCACCUGGAUUCAUAGACAAAGAAAAACCAAAUCAUGUUUUCAAAUUAACAAAAGCUCUUUAUGGUCUUAAACAAGCUCCUAGAGCUUGGUAUGACAGACUUAGCACAUUUUUAAUUGAAAAUGGUUUUUCAAGAGGAAAAAUUGAUACCACACUUUUUAGAAAAACACAGAAUACUGACUUGCUUAUUGUUCAAGUAUAUGUGGAUGACAUCAUUUUUGGUGCUACUAAAAUAAAAAUGUGUGAAGAAUUUUCCAACCUUAUGCAAAGUGAAUUUGAGAUGAGCAUGAUGGGUGAACUUGGUUUUUUCCUUGGUUUACAAAUCAAACAACAUUCAAAUGGAAUUUUCAUAAGUCAAGAAAAGUAUGUCAAAGACAUUCUUAAGAAAUAUAAAAUGAAUGAGGCAAAAAUCAUGAGCACCCCUAUGCGUCCAUCUUCAAGUUUAGAUAAGGAUGAAAGUGGAAAAUCUAUUUCUGAAAAAGAAUAUAGAGGCAUGAUAGGUUCAUUAUUAUAUUUGACUGCAAGCAGACCUGAUAUAGUGUUUGCAGUAGGAUUAUGUGCUAGAUUUCAAACAUGUGCAAAAGAAUCUCACUUAACUGCAGUUAAAAGAAUCUUUAGAUAUCUAGUAGGUACUACUGAUCUUGGCCUUUGGUAUAGAAAAAGUUCUAGUUUUGAUCUUGUAGCCUAUUGUGAUGCUGAUUAUGCUGGAGACAAAGUUGAGAGGAAGAGCACAAGUGGAUCCUGUCAAUUCUUAGGACAAGCAUUGAUUGGAUGGUCUUGCAGAAAGCAAAACACUAUUGCACUCUCCACAACUGAAGCUGAGUAUGUAUCUGCAGCUAGUUGCUGCUCUCAAAUUUUAUGGGUAAGAAAUCAGCUGGAAGAUUACUCUCUAAGGUACACAAGUGUUCCUAUUUAUUGUGACAAUACAAGUGCAAUUAAUCUUUCUAAGAAUCCUAUUCAGCAUUCUAGGUCUAAGCAUAUUGAAAUAAAACAUCAUUUCAUUAGAGACCAUGUUCAGAAAAAGAAUAUUGCAUUAAGCUUUGUUGAUACUGAAAAUCAAUUGGCUGACAUUUUCAUAAAACCCCUUGUUGAGGAUAGAUUCAAUUUUCUUAAAGAAAAAUUGUUAAUCAUGAAAAAUCCCAAUAAAGAUUGAUUACUGAUCACUAAGGACCUUAAGCUAAACCCCUUGAUGUCAUCUGAUACAAAUCAGAUAGAUCCAUCUCAAUCUCACACUCUUCAGAAUGUUCCUGAGUUCAGAAUGUUCAUCAGGUCAGAAUGUUCAAAUGAUCAGAAUGUUCAUUACAAUAUUCAUAUGAUCAGAACAUUCACAAGUAUGUUCAUCUGAGUUUAUCCAUUCAUGAUGUUCUUGGAACUUAUUUUUUGUUCAGAACCUAAAUUCUGGGUCAAACAAUCUCAUACGUGAGAUCUUGUUUUGACUUGUUCAAAAAAUCCCUCCAUAAUCUUAAGCAUUUAAUGCUUGGUUAUAAGAAGUCAUAUUUAAGGUUUAACCACCAUGUAAUGACUUAACCAUCAAAUCUUCUAAAAACCAUUCAUUUUCCCAAACGACUACUUUUUUCAUUUCUCUCUCCUAGGCGUGGCUUUUUGGCGGUUUUCAUCUUUCUCAAUGCUAACUAUCAUCAUAUCACUACUAAAUCCUUCUCUCUUGCACGUUUUGUCUAUAUAAUCAGUUACCAACUCUGAUUACUUCACUUCCAUCUUAUUUCCUAACCUCCCAUCUCUCUCUUCGCAAAAAAAAAAAAUUCAAUUUGCUCUGUAUUCAUUUUCUGAAAAAUGGCUAGAACCAAAACCACCUCAAAACUUUCUGAAAGAUAUUCUUAACCACCACCAUCCAACACCGCUGCUGAUCAAUCCUCUGAUCAACGUUUGAAUGAAACUCCCUUACGUACCAUCCUUAAGGACGAAAUCAUUUCUGCAUCCAAAACUCAAAGAUCCUCAAAACCUGGAUCUUCUAAAUCCAUUAGACCUAGAACCAAUUCUACCAGACGAUCAACAAGGAUGAAGAAACCUUUGAAGAAACCAAAGGUAUCCCACGUGAAUCUAGUAUCUGAUGAAGAGAAGAAAGAUUCAAGUGUUGAUGAAGAUUCUGAGGAAGAAACAGAGGAAGACCCAGAGGAAGAUGAGGAAGAAGACUCUGAGAAAACUCUCUCUGAAUUGAUAAAAUCAGUGAGAGCAUCUUCAAAGAAAGGAAAGAAGGUUGCUACUCCCUCUCCCUCCAAAGAAAGCUCAUCAUCUUAGGAAGAGAAUGAUGAAAAUGGUGAAUCUGAAGAAAGCUCUCCAAAUGAAGAAAAGAGAGUUUCUUCAAAGAAAAGUGGUAAUGGAAAAGAGAUGGCCAAAGCUGCAGAAAAGAUUUAUCAAAGGAGAAAGAAGAUUGAGACUGAAGCUUUUUCUAUGUCUGAGGAGGAAGAUGAAUCUGAAGAGGAAAAAGGUUCAUCCAAGAAGCAUGGAAAAGGUAAGGACAUUGCUGUCUUAAAAACAUCUAGGGCUGAGAAAAUUGCUCUCAGACCUAUGAGCAGAACCAAGUAUUUCAACCUUGAAAGUCUGGAAACCAAGGCAUGGAAUAUGAAGGAGUUCACUGAACCUCAAGGAUGGACCAACUUCAUAACCCUUCAAGAACACACCUAUGAAGACUUGGUCAGAGAGUUCUAUACCAAUCUAUCAGUUCAUGAAAAGAAGAAUGAAAAUGAGAAGUUUCUCAUCUCAUCAGUCAAAGGUGUAAAGCUCAAGAUGACUCAGGAAUUUGUCUCUGAAGCAUUCAAAAUUCCUAAUGAAGGUAAUCAGCUAUACUCUAGUUUUUGGUUUGAUGAGUCUAGAGUUAACCGUAACAAACUCAUAGUUAAAUACACCAAAGAAAAUCACACCUUUAACUCCACAAACCUGGAAGAUACUCCCAAAAUUCUUCACAACAUGAUUAGGCAUUGUCUUUUACCUAGAUGUGGAUCUUUUGAACUUGUCUCUGACAUAGACCUUUGUUUCAUCUACCAUCUCAUGAAAAAGAUUAAGUUAAAUCUGUGUUUUAUCAUCAUUCAACACAUGAUUGAUUCAUGCCUAGCCAUAAAACAAACAUCUGCUGGACUACCCUAUGGAAUGCAUCUCACUUCCAUUUUUCAAAAGGCAAAAGUGCCCCUUGAAGGAGAGAAACGUAAGGUAGAUUUUAUGACCUUUUCUUCCAAGACCUUAGGUUAACUUCACAUUACUUCAUCCAAUAUGCCAGCCCCCAAAACUUCUGGACCCUCUGGAUCUGGUAAAAGAAUUUCUGAUCAGAAUGUUCAGAAAGCUGUGAAGAAAAGAAGAGUUGAAGAGAUCACAGAUACCAAAACUCCCUCCCCACCAGCAGAAAAUUUGUUCUCUGAAGUCUCCAAGCUUGCAAAGGAGAUUGUUGCAGAAGGAAGCUCUCAGUUCAAAACCUUGAUUGGAGAAGAUGAUGCUCAGAAGGUUGAUGAUGCAUCUCUUCAAAGAGAAACUGAGAAGAUUAAGCAAGUCACUGAGGUUCAUAAAGAUAAUCAAGCUGAGGAAAGUGAAGAAAUCCCUCAAAAUGCUAUUCCCAACUCUGUUGAUCAAGAUCAAAGAGUUGAAGAAAAUAUUGAGUUUGAUACUCAGGAUGUUGAUGAAGAAACUCAGGAAGUGGCUGAGAUCUUAGCUUCAAAUAUGAACAUUGAAGAAGAAGCUCAAGAUGUGGAGUUCUCAACUGGAUUUGAUCUCAAUAUUGAAGAUAUCAACACUGACUUCAACAGUGAAGUGUUUCAAGAUGGACAAGAAACAGCUCAAGAAGCAACUAAAGCUCAGAAUGUUGAAGCUUCUGCUCAGAAUGUUGCAGUUCCUGCUGCUCAGAAUGUUGAAAAUAUUCCUGUCUUGUCUAAUCAGAAUGUUCAAGAAUUUGUUGAUCAGAAUGCAUCAAAUGAACCUCUUCAAGAUGGCCAGCUGUCAGCAUAUCCAAUGCCUUUGGCUUCAGGAUCUUUGCCCUCUAUGGAGGUACAGCUCAUGGCUCAAACUGGUCAGAACAUUAAUAUUUCUUCAUCCACCAUGGGAUCUGUUGCUGGUGUAAACAAUUUCUUUGUCUCUGAUCUUCCCACUCGAAACGUCAUUCCUUCAUCCACUCCUCCACCACCACAAAAAGCAAACUUCCAAACUUGGCUGCCUUAUUUGACUCUCUCAAUACCUUUGUGUCUGCAAACAAAGAGCAAGCUGAAGCCUCUGGUCCUGCUGAACCUGCUAAGCCUUCAAGAGCAGAGAAGAUAGCCUCAAGGGCACUUAGGGUCUCCACCAAGACCCACAAAAUUGCUUGUGUGUUGGCUGAUUGGACUGUCAAAGUUCAUGCUCCUGGAUUGGGUAUUCCACCUCCAGUUUUUGAUGACCCCUCUAUCUUUGAAGCAGAACCAUCUUUUGAUUUUGGAGACUCUACUCCAUGAAUCUUUUCAGAAUUCCUCCCUAUCCUUUUUGCAGAUGACUAAAGGGGGACAAGCUUUAGGAUUUAAUUCUAAGUGUUUCCUAGUUUUAGGCCCUAAGUAGGUCUAGUGAUCAUUAGUUAUUGGAGUUUAUAAGCUUCAUCUUUUGCUUGAUCACAUGCACUUUAAAAUUCCUUUUUUUGUUUUGAACCAUCUUUUCAUGUAAUGUACUUCAUGUUAUAUCAAAUGAAUGAAUAUUGAUUUUGGUUCAGUCUUGCAUAUUUCUAUUUUAUGCAAAAGAUUAUGAAAUUGAGGGGGAGCUUUUUAAAGUUCUUAAAAACUCUGCAUAAUGGAUUAUAAAAAUGAGGGGGAGCAUUAAAAUAAAUUUUUAAGCUCUGUUAUAUAAUCAAAAUCCUUAAUCCUAAAUCAUAAGUUUAUCAUCUUCAAAAAGGGGGAGAUUGUUGAGGCAAAAUCCCUAAUUAAUUUUAAAGAUAAUAAACAAAUAUGAUUAAAGAAUUAAUGGACUUUGAUUAAUUUCUUGGUAUUCAGCUUGUGCUCUUGAGUGUUUUACUAAGACAGGAACAAGGUUUAAAUCAUACCAAGAAUCAAGAAAUCAAAGGACAUUUGAAUUCAUGAUCUAACACUGAGGUCAGAAUGUUAGAUCAGAAUGUUGCUCGAAGAUCAGAAUGUUCAAGCUGAGAUCAGAAGGUUGUUCUUAAACAAGCCAAGAGUCUCAAGAACUUUGAUCAAAGGUCAUGCAAGGCACAUGUGACAUGGGUAUAUGUCCAGGAAAGUACAUUUGCAUGGAUCAAUCAAGCAAUAAAGGCAUAUACAAGGAUUAUGUCAAAGAAGGCAUUCAAUGUUCAUUUAAGACUAUGAACAUUGAUGUACUAGGAAUAUUUCACAAGGGAAUAUCAUCCUAGAUGUUAUUAUUACUGCUUUUCAUCAUUGUUUCACUAUUAGGAUUUGAUUACAUCAAAUGAUAGUCUUACAAAUCAUCCUAAGUGAAACAGAUGGAACAUUCUAAUGAUCAGAAUGUUCAGCUCAGCUCAUGCUUACUUUAUGAACAGUACAGUAGGUGAAAAGCAAAGCAAAUAUGUGAUCUUCAACAAGAGAUAGACACGUCUGAGAGUUGGUACUGAUCAAGGACAACACAAUCUCUCAAAGCAUGGGCAUGAAGAUGCAGAAUCCCACUAAAUCCUCCUGCACCGGUUCCAAGACAAAGUCUGGGAAAGGAACAUUCUGAUGUAUGAAGAAAAGUCCAUACAUUGGUUAUUGUCCAGAAAUUCAUAUGAAAAGCAUAUGCAUAGCCCAGAACUUCAUGUGUUCAUUCAUACAUGAUGAACCCAGAUGAAGAACAUGAUGAACCCAGAUGAAGAUCAUCAUGAACACAACAACAUUCUGAUGUUCAUCAGAGAUCAGAAUGUUUGCCCAGAAUUUCAAGUUAAAGCUUGUGGGACCCAGGACACAUGGCAUAACACCAUUGGACAUUCUACAACGGCUAUAUGAGCCCAAAGACUCUAUAAAUAGAGAUCAAGGCAUUAGCAAAACUUGCACCAUUGCAAAGCAUACAAGAAAACAACUUUGAUUUUGUUUGAAGCUUUUGCAAACUGAAAUUGAUCAAUCUCUAAGUCUUUCAUCAACUUAGUGCAAAUCAAUACUCUUGUUAUCUGUAGGAUAACCUCUUCUUCUUCUUCUUCCUCCACUGUUUGUUUUACAAACACCCAACUUCCAUACAAAUUGUAACAAAGUCUCAUCUAGCUUUUAGAGGUCCUAAAGUGUUAGGUUGAGCAAAGGUUGUAAAAGUCUAAGUGGCUAACUUAGCAAGAAGGUGCAAUCCUGCUGAGGCUUAGAGAAUACAGGAGUGUAAUUGUUCAGGUGAACAAGAUUGUAAGGUGCAGGACUUGAGAGGUUAUCUCAAGCAUCUUAGUGGAAACUCUCACAGGAUUGUGGGGAGUGGACUAGCCUACAUUGGGUGAACCACUAUAACUCUUUGUGUGUUCUUUCUUUCUUCUCUAUACUCUUUUAUUUACAGUAUACACAACACACACUUACACUUAUACUUUAUUAAACAAUUUUGUUUAUGAACUUCAUAACAUUUUGAAGUCAGAAAGUUAACAUAAUUUCAAGUAAACAACUUGAGAAUCAAUUUUAAGUUUCAGAAUAAUUUUUAAAGGGUCACAAUUCAAACCCCCCCUUCCUUGUGACUAUUUUAUCUACUUCAAUCAUCAACAAAGAUAUCGGAACAACACCUUUGGCAACACCUACCUUGUAAAUCGUGAUAAGCCUCGCAGCUAUUGUAGCUUGCAUCAUGAGAUUGAGACCUUCUGCCGCUAUAAGAAAGAGAAAAGGAGAAAGAGGGUCCUCUUGGCAUAACCUUGUUUAUACACUCAUUUAUCCCCUCCCUCCAUAAUGUGGGAAAUUCAUUUCUGACAAAAAAACAUUCAAAUAAUUCUAAUGCAUUGAGUCAAAAGCCUUUUCGAAAUAAACUUUGAAUAUAAUUAAUUAUGUUUUAAACUUGAGAAUUUCAUCCACUAGCUCAUCAAAUAUUAAAAUACCAUUGAUAAUUUGGCGGCCGUGAGUGAAAGCAGAUUGCUCCUCGAAAAUUACAAGUCUGAUCACCAUUCGCAAACGAUUAGCUAAGACUUUAGCCAACACCUUAUACAAGCAUCCAACUAAGGAAAUGGGUCAGAUACCCAAUUGUCUUUGAGGGCUAUCCACCUUAGGAAUAAAGGAGAUUAAAGUGCUUUGAUACCAUUAACGAACUUAACAUUUCAAUGAAACUCCGAACUGAAACGCAUAAAAUCAUUUUUUAAAUCCUUCCAAAACUUCUAGAUAAAACCAAAAUUAACACCAUCAGAACAUGGGAUUUUGAAACUGACACAAUCCCAAAUGACUUGUGUCACCUCCUGAUAGAUUUUUUAGCAAGUGCACUAAAUACUAUCGAAGUAAUAAUAAAAAUAUCGUUCCCACGAGGACUGUGUUAAUCUCAAUUUAACAAUAAGGUUAAUAUUUAUGAUGUGUAAAUUUCUUUUAGUUGCCCUAGGCAGUAGUUUUGGUUUGCAUAAAAUUAAAUAAACAGAAUAUAAAGAUAGAGUUUGAAAGAAUAAGAGAGAGAUGAGAUUAGGUCUUUCGAAUCAUCUAUGUUCCCCUAAUUGGUAUACUGCACCUAUUUUUAUGAAUGAUUUUCUAGUUCCACGAUAGUUAACAAAAUAGUCAUAAUCAAUCCCUUGAGAUAGAACCCUCUUCUCAAACUACAGCCCCUAAUUCCUUAGGUGGUCUAAUAAUCUUUGAAGGUUUAAGAACGUUAACCUAGUAUCACUAAUAAAGGAUUAUUCAUUCCUAGACUAACCAUGUUUAUUAGAACAAUUCAAUUAGGUAUAAGUCGAAAGCUAGGGUCAGUAGUCAUUCGUUCUCACUAAAUCAUGUUUAUAUUUGAUCAAGAUAUAAAAAGCAUUAAGAACAAUUGAAUUGAAUAAAAACUAAAUUGUCAUUCACAAUAAAUAGAGUUUCACAGCAACAUGAAUUAAUUAGGGUUACACAGAUUCAUCUCAGACCUAAUCAAAAGAAUUUAGCUAGACAUGAUAAAAGAAUUAAGCAUAUAAAUAAAAGAAAUUACAAUGUUUUGAUAUUGAGAAUUUCUUGAACUGAUAUGCCUUUUUUUCUUUGUGCAUGUGUUGAAGCCUUGCUCUCGGGAACCGUGCCUCCAAAACCUUCCAAAACGUGAAAUAUGUAUCAGCCGCCCCCUUUUGUUACCUAAUGCCUCUUGCCAAGCCGUCAAUAUCUUCUUUGAUGUGUUGUGCGGCUCCUUUAUAAUGUUCCAAACCUAAUCUUUUCUUUCUUUCCAAGUCAACUCACGUGAUUGCUUUUCUCCUUGGCCCAUUUAGCACUUCUUCAAUUUUCAUUGGUCCAUCCAAUUAAUUCAUAAGACCAUGACUUUUGUUUUAUUCUUUUACUAGCCAACUAGCAUGGAAACCCGUGCCAAGCACGGGCUAGAAUUCCGUCAAACUUAAAGGAGAUAAUAUUGUGAUGUAGCAAAAAAUUCAGUUAAAGUCCAACAUCAGAUGAAAGAGUGCAAGUUGAACAUCAAAAGAGUGAAAAAACUCAUACUUAAGCGUUAAAAUUUUGGAUGGAAAUGUAGUCUUGUUUUCACAUGUUGUUGCCCUUUCUUCAAUGCGUCGAUCCACAUUAGUGUUCGCUCCUCCAGAAAGCGCAACGGUGGUAUGAUAUUUUGGUUCAAAGUUCUGUGGGAACGAGAGUGUUUUAGGUGGUGGAUCAUGAACACGGAGAGUCUAACUUUAAUGGAGAGAUGUUAAUGUGUUCAAUGUAAGUUAAAAUUUCACAUUGUAAGCAAGAGCAAGAGUAGCUGUGAGCGACAUAUAAAUUAUCCAUGUCGUAAUGUCUUGAGACUUCGGAUGAAGAUGUGAUAUUAAUCUCACUCGUGUGAUUGUUCUUAGGCUAAUGUGAUCAUACAUCUCAAUUUAGAAUCUCACAAAAGUCCCAACAUUAUGAUAAUUUGAUUUCUAUAUUUUUUAAUGUCGUUUUGUUUAAUUUUUUUAUCUUAAAUUAAUUUUAGUUUUCAAAUGUCAAAAUAUUAUUCAACCACUGUUAUAUCUAAUUCAUUCACUUUUGAUCUUUGGUGAGAUCUUACAAUAGAAAAAUGUAGAUGUGAGAUAAAAAAAAUACAUACAUGGCCCAUGUCCGGACCCCCGAACCUGAGCCGAGUAAAGAAAAGGUUUAGAGACCUGCUGAAAAAGGUCUACUUUAUUUUUAGCCAAAAUAGAUUGGAAUCAACGUCAAUCAAUAGAAAUGCCAAAAUAAGGAAGAAAAAAAUGUUUGUUAGAAAUUUUAAAUUGUCGUUACAUUUUCUUUUAGGGAAAAUUGUCGUUACAUUUUUUUAAUGAGUCUAAUAUUUUAGUAAAAUAAUUACCCAUUAAUUCUUAACUCCUUCAAUAAAUGUAUAAAAGCAUCGGUAACUCGUUGUAUACUUUAUACUCUCAAAUAAAACAAUCACUCCUUAUCUGUUUCCCUUAUCAUUUCUCUCAUGUUCAGAUUCCUUUUUCGUCUUCUUUAUUUUUCUAAUAUACUUUCUCCUUUAUCAGGAAAGAAAGAAACAAAAACAUUUUUCUAUAAAACCGAUACCAUCCCACAUUUUUUAACAUGUUGUGUCUUUGAUCUUAUUUGGCUCUCUCACCAGAUCAGAAAUACGGAUUGUCUCACACGUAACAGAGAUAUGUUAAUGUGUCAUGUCUAAGUUAAACUUCUACAUUGGAAGCAAAAGUAUAUAUUGAGAAACAUGAAUGUGAGAUGACUAAUAUACAUAAUGUAUUAAGGUGUUAGGUGAAGAUGUGGCGUCAAUCUCACUUGUCGGAUUUCUCUUGAUCAAAUGUGAUGAUCAAUCUAUUAUAGGCUUGCACAAAACUCCAAACACUAUGAUGAACUAUUUUUUUAGUUUUUGGAUGUCAUUAGUUUAAUUUUAUUAUAAGUUUUUAGAUGUUCACUUUCAUGAAAGAAAAAAAAUUAUCCAACCUCUACUAUUUUAAAUACCUUCACUUUUGGUCUUUGGUGGGAUCUAGUCAUGGAAAAAUGUAGACGUGUUAUGUUGAAUUAAAAAAUUACAUGCUUAUAAGACAUUUUAAAAUGAUGUGAUAUUUUUUCAACUCCUUUCACUAUCCCAUAAAAUUAUCAUGAACCCGCUCUAUUCCUAACACUUCAACGGAAAAAACACACACUACUUUUUUCCCUUGUCAUUUCUAUCAUCUUUAAAUUUCUUUUUUAUAUUCUCUUUUUUUUUUUUAUUUUCUUUCUCUUUUUUUAUGAAAGAUAGGAUCAUAAAUCUCCAUCCAUCAAACCACUAUCAACUCACAUUUUUUACCAUGUUGUGCCUACGGUUGACCUUAUUUGGCUAUGUCACCAGUCCUCAUACGCAAGAGUCUCACACUUAUGGGAGAUAUGUUAAAGUGUCAAUUGUGACUCAAAGUUCCAAAUUGGAUGCAAGUAGAUCUUGAAAAACAUAUAAGUGAGAUGAUCAAUAUACAUAAUGCUUUAAGGUUUUGAGUGAUGAUGUGGUGUCAAUCUCAGUUGUGUGCUUUGCGAUGUUCUAACUCAUUGCAGGCUCCCUUGAAACUCUAAACAUUUUGAUAAAUUAUUUUGUUAGUUUUUUCAACGUUGUUUGUAAACUUUUAUAUUAAGUUGAAGUUUUUUGAUGUUUUUCGCUUUCAUGCAAUAUUUUAUAAUCAAUCUCUAUUAUUUCAACUUCCUUCA